CGUCGUGAGACAGUUCGGUCCCUAUCUGCCGUGGACGUUUGAGAUUUGAGAGGGGCUGCUCCUAGUACGAGAGGACCGGAGUGGACGAACCUCUGGUGUUCCGGUUGUCACGCCAGUGGCAUUGCCGGGUAGCUAUGUUCGGAAGAGAUAACCGCUGAAAGCAUCUAAGCGGGAAACUUGCCUCAAGAUGAGAUCUCACUGGGAUCUUGAAUCCCCUGAAGGGCCGUCGAA
rnacentral:rRNA from 1 species